rnacentral:rRNA from 1 species
UACGGGGGGGGCAAGCGUUGUUCGGAAUUACUGGGCGUAAAGGGCUCGUAGGUGGCCAACUAAGUCAGACGUGAAAUCCCUCGGCUUAACCGGGGAACUGCGUCUGAUACUGGAUGGCUUGAGUUUGGGAGAGGGAUGCGGAAUUCCAGGUGUAGCGGUGAAAUGCGUAGAUAUCUGGAGGAACACCGGUGGCGAAGGCGGCAUCCUGGACCAACACUGACGCUGAGAAGCGAAAGCAUGGGGAGCGAACAGG